GACAGAGAAGAGGCAAAGAGGGAGCCUGGAGACAGAGGGCCAUGGAAAGUGUCUACAUGAUUGUCAGCACCAAUAACUCAGACCGCUCCAUAGCUCUGCCUGCAGACCAGCGCACGCACCCAGCCACAGGCAGCAAAACGAUCUUGGCUCUCAAACCCAAGUCCUCUCCCGGGAACAUCUCCACAGCCAGCAAACCACACCUGCCCCACUGCUUAUUAGCACAGCCAAAGAAUACCAUGCACUUCCUCCCCGUGGCUGAUAAAAUAUGCAUCAAAACAGAAGAGCAGCGUGACUCCCCCAGUGUUUUCUAAUGGUAAUACAGGGGGAUUGGGAAGAUGGAGGCAAGGGGUCUAAUAGUUUGGGACAGAAGGGGGAGGUGAGCAGGAUGUGGGUGUGUGUUUGUGGGUAAUGCAGCCUGCCACACUGAAGAGAGAGGAGUGGGUGCAUUCCUCACCAGGACAGGAGUAAAGCCUAACCUUCCUACACAUCUGUACCGUUCUGGCUGUGUGUUUCAGCCAUAAUGAUAUGACAAGCAUGUGCAAUGAAUAGUAUCUGUUUUAGUUAAAAUUUCAAUUGUUCUGCCAAAUAAGAGCUGGCAUGCUGACAAGUCAAGCACAUCAAAUGAUAUUUUAUUUGUAUUGCAUCUUAAUCUAGGUCUAGAUAUUUUCGUGCAAGGAGUCAAAUGGUUAUUUUCAUCAAUUGUGAAUUAAUUGUAACUUGGUGAGCAGCAUUGCUUAAACAGUCAGUGCAUUUAAUAGACAACAUUAGGAUACCUGCAUGCCACAUACUGUGACCUC